rnacentral:ncRNA from 1 species
GGUCUUCGGGGCAGGGUGAAAUUCCUGACCGGCGGUGAGGCUGCUUGUGCAUGAAUGACGCAAGGAGCUCAAGCCCGCGACUCGUAAUCAUCUCUUUGGGAUGACUGCGACUGACUUGGUGCGAAUCCAAGGCCGACGGUAUAGUCCGGAUGAGAGGAGAU